GUGUCAGCAGCCGCGGUAAGACGAACCGUGCGAACGUUGUUCGGAAUCACUGGGCUUAAAGGGCGCGUAGGCGGGUCGCAAAGUCCGGGGUGAAAGCCCCCAGCUUAACUGGGGAAGGGCCUUGGAUACUGGCGGUCUGGAGGAGGGUAGGGGCAUCUGGAACGCUGGGUGGAGCGGUGAAAUGCGUUGAUAUCCAGCGGAACUCCGGUGGCGAAGGCGAGGUGCUGGACCCUUUCUGACGCUGAGGCGCGAAAGCCAGGGUAGCGAACGGGAUUAGAUACCCCCGUAGUCC
rnacentral:rRNA from 1 species